rnacentral:rRNA from 1 species
AGCAGCCGCGGUAAUUCCAGCUCCAAUAGCGUAUAUUAAAGUUGUUGCAGUUAAAAAGCUCGUAGUUGAACUUCAGGCCUGGCUGGACGGUCCGCCCUCUGGGUGAGCACUGUCUGUGGUCGGGUCCUACCUUCUGGCGAAGCGGCAUGGCCUUAACCGGCCGUGGCGGGGAACCAGGACUUUUACUGUGAAAAAAUUAGAGUGUUCAAAGCAGGCACGCGCUUGAAUACAUUAGCAUGGAAUAAUGGAAUAGGACAAUGGUUCUAUUUGUUGGUUUCUAGGACCGUUGUAAUGAUUAAUAGGGAUAGUUGGGGGCAUUAGUAUUCAAUUGUCAGAGGUGAAAUUCUUGGAUUUAUUGAAGCUAACUACUGCGAAAGCAUUUGCCAAGGAUGUUUUCAUUAAUCAAGAACGAAAGUUAGGGAUCGAAGACGAUCAGAUACCGUCGUAGUCUUAACCAUAAACUAUGACCGACUAGGGAUCGGAUGAUGUUAAUUUUUAUGUACUCUAUUCGGCGUCCUUA